rnacentral:lncRNA from 1 species
ACCUUGUCCUGGCAUAACAGCCUCUCCAACACCAUUCCCAGUUUCCUGCUGUUCCCCAGCUUUGGGGCUGGGAGGAGCAAACCCACCCCCAUCCCCACCUCCACCCUGCCAGCAACCCACCUUCAUUCAGCACAAGCACUCCUUUGCCUAGGAAGAAGCAGGCUUCAGUUCUUCCAUUGCUCUAUGCUUCAACCUCAACCGGUCUCCAGGUCUUCCAAUGCCCAGGAGUUUGGAAAUAGUCACUCACUGGCUGCCUACUGCAAGCUGGCAGGGCUCUUGAACCAGAUCAUCCAGAUCAUCCCAGAACCACUCUCCCAGCUUCUACUCCUAUUGCUGCACUGGCUGUGGGUGUGCAGUAAAUGCGAAGAAAUAUGAGAAGGUGACUCUAAACCAGAAACAACAAAUCUACACAAGUUCUAGGAAAUCACUAACCUUCUAUUCGUCAUUAAUUAAACCAUCAAUCAAAAGGAUACACUUGCCAACCAGAAAGAACUCUUCAGAUGGCCAACCAUUUGUUACAUCAUAGCUUAUGAAAUAAUCCAUCUUUUUUUCAUAAGCCAGCCUUCCUGCUCAGCGGUACACUAGGAGAUGAAUCUUUCAGCUACUUCUGCUGGUGUCCUAUGCCUGCAACCUGAAAUUAGGAAAAGCACACUGAAGUGUUGAGAAGCAGGAAGAAAAUGACCUUGUAGGACAGAGCCCAUCCUUAGAAGAGGGAAUUGAUCCUUGAGGGCAGGGCAAGCUUCUUCUGAGAACCAGUUUCAUCCCCUUGAGCGCUGCCAGCUAUGGGACUCCUUCAGCUCCUUUGCAGAAGCAGACUACGUGAUCAUCCAGACGAGACCCUGACAGUGACUGCAUAACUGUGCACGCCCACUGCCCUCCUGCACCAACUCUUUCUCUACGUACAAGUCUGAAUCCAUGUCAGUAACCAGGGGAUGGGCCUGGGGUCAGCAAAUACCUUUAUUUCUUUCUCUUCCUAGUGUGGUCACAUUAAAUAAACCUCUUGCUGCUUUUCACUG